rnacentral:misc_RNA from 1 species
AAGUCGUAACAAGGUUUCCGUAGGUGAACCUGCGGAAGGAUCAUUAUUGAAACACAAAGGUCGGAGGCUGUCGCUGGUCCCCUCGGGGGCAUGUGCACGCCUUUGACCGCAUCCUUCACACCCCUGUGCACCUCUGCGUGUGGGCCCCGGUUUACCGAGGCCCCGCGUCUUAUUAUACACACCCUUUGCAAGUCUUCAGAAUGUCAUUAUGCGAUAAAAAGCAUCUAAUACAACUUUCAACAACGGAUCUCUUGGCUCUC